UGCAGUCGAGCGAACAGAUAAGGAGCUUGCUCCUUUGAAGUUAGCGGCGGACGGGUGAGUAACACGUGGGUAACCUACCUAUAAGACUGGAAUAACUCCGGGAAACCGGGGCUAAUGCCUGAUAACAUAUAGAACCGCAUGGUUCUAUAGUGAAAGAUGGUUUUGCUAUCACUUAUAGAUGGACCCGCGCCGUAUUAGCUAGUUGGUAAGGUAAUGGCUUACCAAGGCGACGAUACGUAGCCGACCUGAGAGGGUGAUCGGCCACACUGGAACUGAGACACGGUCCAGACUCCUACGGGAGGCAGCAGUAGGGAAUCUUCCGCAAUGGGCGAAAGCCUGACGGAGCAACGCCGCGUGAGUGAUGAAGGGUUUCGGCUCGUAAAACUCUGUUAUUAGGGAAGAACAUAUGUGUAAGUAACUGUGCACAUCUUGACGGUACCUAAUCAGAAAGCCACGGCUAACUACGUGCCAGCAGCCGCGGUAAUACGUAGGUGGCAAGCGUUAUCCGGAAUUAUUGGGCGUAAAGCGCGCGUAGGCGGUUUCUUAAGUCUGAUGUGAAAGCCCACGGCUCAACCGUGGAGGGUCAUUGGAAACUGGGAAACUUGAGUGCAGAAGAGGAAAGUGGAAUUCCAUGUGUAGCGGUGAAAAUGCGCAGAGAUAUGGAGGAACACCAGUGGCGAAGGCGACUUUCUGGUCUGUAACUGACGCUGAUGUGCGAAAGCGUG
rnacentral:rRNA from 1 species